rnacentral:rRNA from 1 species
GACGAACGCUGGCGGCGCGCUUAACACAUGCAAGUCGAACGGAAAGGCCUGCUUUCCCUUGUGGAUUGCGGGUACUCGAGUGGCGAACGGGUGAGUAACACGUGAGUGAUCUGCCCCCAACUUGGGUAUAAGCCUGGGAAACUGGGUCUAAUUCCCGAUAGGACUGCAGGGUGGUGCCUGUGGUGGAAAACGAUUUUCUAGUGGUUGGGGAUGAGCUCGCGGCCUAUCAGCUUGUUGGUGGGGUAAUGGCCUACCAAGGCGGCGACGGGUAGCCGGCCUGGGAGGGUGGACGGCCACAUUGGGACUGAGAUACGGCCCAGACUCCUACGGGAGGCAGCAGUGGGGAAUAUUGCACAAUGGGCGGAAGCCUGAUGCAGCGACGCCGCGUGGGGGAUGACGGCCUUCGGGUUGUAAACUCCUUUGGACCGCGAGGAAGCCACCUGGUUGGAAGGGUGGUGACGGUAGUGGUAGAAGAAGCACCGGCUAACUACGUG